CAGCCGCCGCGGUAAUACGUAGGGUGCAAGCGUUGUCCGGAAUUAUUGGGCGUAAAGAGCUCGUAGGCGGUUUGUCGCGUCUGCUGUGAAAUCCCGAGGCUCAACCUCGGGCUUGCAGUGGGUACGGGCAGACUAGAGUGCGGUAGGGGAGAUUGGAAUUCCUGGUGUAGCGGUGGAAUGCGCAGAUAUCAGGAGGAACACCGAUGGCGAAGGCAGAUCUCUGGGCCGUAACUGACGCUGAGGAGCGAAAGCGUGGGGAGCGAACAGGAUUAGAUACCCCAGUAGUCCCUGUCUCUUAUAA
rnacentral:rRNA from 1 species